UAAAUUUGUUGUUAUUAUUACCUUCACAAACUCAUUAGUUUUAUUUAUUAAAAAUGAUUUUCUUUGUUGUCAUGAUUGUGAUGGGUUGGCAUGCUCGCAGGAACUCUGGCUUUUCUAGAUUUCUUUGACACAUGUUCAUCUUCUUCCUGUGACAUGUCUUUUGCUUUCUGCGUUGUCCUCAGAAUUCAGACAGUUACAGUUUAUCAUAAACCAAUUUGGAUUCAGAGUCACAAUUGAGCUCUUAUUGAUUAUUUUUUUUCUGUGGAAUUAUUUGUUUGUGGGGAUUCUGUCAGGAAUUCAAUUCCCCAAGGUGAGUUUAUGCAAUUUUUGGGUCAUUUAUGAAAACUCUCUCUCUCUCUCUCUCUUCUUUGUUUUAUAGCAUCAUCUGCAGGUCAUCUGCAGGCUUUGGAAUUACAUGUUGUUUUCUUCUAUCGAAUUGUGGGGUCAAAAAGAGACGACUUUAAUGGUUUCCUGAUUGAAUUUGGAUUGCCGUUCACAUGCGUGCUUUUCUCGGAGCCUUCUGUUUUUGAAUUUGGCAAUUGGGCCAGAGUGAAAAAUUGCUUCUUUCAACCAAUUCGGGAUUAAUUUUGUGAAAAACAGAUUUUCAUGUCUCGCAGUCAUCUUUGAAUUCAACUGGUGCAACAAUUCUUGAUAAGAAACCUUGGAAUUUCAUACGCUACAAAAAUUGCUGCUCUGGUUUUGUGCAAAUUGAUCAUGAUGAUUGUGUCAGAUGAGUUUUAUGUGCUUGGGAUGAUUUAAAAUUCUGGAUUUUGUGGGUUGAAUCUUAAAUGGACGUGCCUCCUUAUUGUAAGCACUUCAAAGUACACGGUUGCCACUUGAAUUCCUUUGCAUGCAAAUGUGUUGUUUUAGCUUUCAUUGCUCUGAUUCUCAGAGCUGUUCUGCUUCCUACGUUCCAUAGUUUUGGUGGAGCUGAACAGAGCAAGUUGGUCUUCAUCAGUAACCUCUCUUUGUCACUCGGUCAUAAAUUCGGAAUUAGAAAAGAUAAGUUUUUGGAGGUUCCUCAAAUUGUAUGGGGCUUAAACAAUCAAAAGAUUGCGUUUGCAAGAGCUUGUUUAACUGCAAAGUUUCUGAACCGGACUCUUUUGAUGCCUAGCUUGAGUGCUUCCCUGUUCUACAAAGAAGUCGAGCUCUUGGAGCCUAUUUCCUUUGAUAAGGUGUUCCAGUUCAAGAAGUUUAAUUCUCUCUGUAAUGGCUUUGUUCAACUGGGCGAGUUCUCGGAUCUUAGAAACCAAACGGGAGCCUUUGAGCUUCAGAAAGGAAGUGGAAGGAGGUGGACACCUGAGAGAGAUUUGGAUCAGUUGAAACAGCACAAUGAGGAUCCAUAUAAUGAGUUUGACGUGAUUCGAAUCAUUGGAAAGAACCCGUUUCUGUGGCACGAUCAUUGGCCUGUGAAGGACUAUGCGAAGGUGUUUGAGUGCUUGGUUCUGGUUGAUGAGAUAAUGAAUGAAGCAGAUAAAGUUGUGUCCAGGAUUAGAGAUAUAGGAGCAACACAAGUAAGAAGCCAGAAUGAGUCUCCACAAAAUGGCAUUAACCCGGCAGAGAAGCCUUUCUUGCAGCCAGUGCCUUAUGUGGCUGUACAUAUGAGGAUAGAGAUAGACUGGAUGAUUCAUUGUAAGAAGCUAGAGCAAAGAUCAAACAUAACUCAAAUUUGUAGCAGCAAGGAGGAGAUCAUGGAGAGAAUGGGCAACAUUGCUGGCCUGAAAACACCAGUCGUUGUUUAUUUAGCUGUGGCUGACAGUCUUCUUCAUGAUCCAUCUAUUUUGAGUGGCUGGAAGGAAGGCUUGAUUCCUUAUGAGAAGAAGAAAUUGGGGCUUGAAGGGACUUACAAGAAGUUCCCUUAUCUCAUUCAGUCUGCAAUUGACUAUGAAGUGUGUUUAAGGGCCGAUGUCUUUGUGGGAAACAGUUUCUCCACAUUUUCGAACCUUAUAGUUCUCGAUCGAACGCAGAAGCUCAUUAGAAUGGGCGUCACAAGCUCAUGUGGUGUGGAUGUAAGGUGGCCUUCUUAUGCAUACAACAUAUUAGGGGAAGCAAAAGGCCCUCAAAGAUGGAUGACAAACAUGUCUGGCUCAAGUCUUCAAGCAAUUAGCUAUGGCUCCAAUGACAUUUCGUGUUGUGUUGAUCCUUAGUUUUUCUAUUGGUGGACAUCUUCAAGGCUCCACCACUUCUUGUACUCUACAUCAUCCAGCCCCUCCUGCGCAAUAUUUUCGGAUGAUGGAACAGAUGACCAAAACAAACAGAUAAAGACAGAAGGAAAUGGAAUGGGACAGUCUUUAGCACAAGCAAGGAAUUAAGUUAUUUGGUACUUGAUUUUUUAUUUUUUGUGGUGGGUCAUGUCCUUAGCUCUCAACUUUGAGCCUUUUUGGCCCAUCAUCUGUGUGUAUUUAUUUGACUUGUUGAAAAUUCUUGCUCAUUAUGUUUCUUUGCUUCCCCAGUGGGACCUCAAUGUUUUGGCUGUUUUUUCUUUGUUGAUUAGCCCUCAAACUUCAGACAUCAAGAUCUGUAAAGGGGUCAAUCUAAUUUGCAAUUUGCUUUGAAUUAGUCAAGUUUUGGGGCAUUUUAGGCAC